GCAGAAAUAUAUCUUGGGAGAGCAGAAAAUUGGGUUCAAUCAGUCCCAAUCCUAAUAACAAUAUAUUGAAUACAUAAAAAAUGGGUUGAGAUUGCCACAACUAUACAGUGGCGGCUCAGAAACUUGAAUUCAUCAAGUAAUGUUACACAUAUGCAAUAGGCAGUUGAAAUCGAAAGAGAACUUACCUCAGAAUCAUGAAAGACACAUUCCUGACUCUUGAUGCUAUC